rnacentral:rRNA from 1 species
GAUGAACGCUGGCGGCGUGCCUAAUACAUGCAAGUCGAACGAGGUGCUUGAGUAGCAAUACAAGAGUAUCCUAGUGGCGAACGGGUGAGUAACGCGUGGAUGACCUGCCCCAAAGUGUGGGAUAACAGUCCGAAAGGAUUGCUAAUACCUCAUGUGGUUAUCGGAUUUAGAAACUGAUAACUAAAGCAGCAAUGCGCUUUGGGAGGGAUCUGCGUCCCAUCAGCUAGUUGGUGAGGUAACGGCUCACCAAGGCGACGACGGGUAGGGGACCUGAGAGGGUGGCCCCCCACAAUGGAACUGAAACAACGGUCCAUACACCUGCGGGUGGCAGCAGUAGGGAAUAAUUGCUCAAUGGGCGAAAGACCUGAAGCAGCAACGCCGCGUGUGCGAUGAAGGCCUCGGUC